CGGUGUUCGAGGCUUUUCCACUCAUUCUGGGACACGCUGCUUAUAUUUUUCCUAGAAAAUUUUUUUUAUGGGAGGAAUAAACAAAAAACAAACGAUGUGGUCAUAUUUUAUUUCAUCGUUUCAUCAAUAAAUAACUUUCAUAGACAGGUGUGCAGUAGAUUUCCAUUAAUUUCAUUUGAAGAGAAAGAUGAGAACUGGUGGCGUGUUGAGAAGGGCAGUCAGAUGAGCAUACAGAUAAUGGUAUGGGACUAUAAUUGUAAGUGUGAUCUAUACUAUUGAGGUAUAAUCUUGAGCUAGUUCGGUCACAUUCUGGACAAGAUUGUUUUUUUUUCUUUCCCCUUCUGAACAGUUCGUAGGCACAUCUGAAAAAGAAAAAAAUUGAAACUCAUUUUAAGGAAUUGGUUUGUUCAACUUUGCCCGUCAAUUUGUCAAGUAUGUAUGUUGCCAAUAGGGUAACAAAAACAAGCUGCUCAUCUUAUUCCACAUUCAACUGGAGUAAUUUGUUGCUAUUAUUCAUGUAAAUGUACUCUGAGAUGUUACAAUAUGAUGAAAUAGAAAAUAGAAGUGAAGUACUUCGAACCUGAA